rnacentral:rRNA from 1 species
UACGGAGGGUGCAAGCAUUGAUCGGAAUUACUGGGCGUAAAGCGUGCGCAGGCGGUUCGUUAAGUCAGCUGUGAAAGCCCCGGGCUCAACCUGGGAAUUGCGGUUGAAACUGGCGAACUAGAAUCUGGCAGAGGGGGGUGGAAUUCCACGUGUAGCAGUGAAAUGCGUAGAGAUGUGGAGGAACACCGAUGGCGAAGGCAGCCCCCUGGGCUGAGAUUGACGCUCAGGCACGAAAGCGUGGGGAGCAAACAGG